rnacentral:lncRNA from 1 species
UGGACCUUCGUGAAUUGGAAAGGAAUGAAGAAAAAGAAAAAAUGAGCAAAAUAGAUGAGUUGACCUCUGUUGCAGCGGAAGAGGCAAAAGAAAAAGAAAGAAGGAUGAAGAAGAAGAAAUGAAAGAAGACAAGAGCCAAGAAGAAAGUAUAAAAGAAGCAGCUGCAGCUGAAGAAGAAAAAGUUGAAAAAGAAACAGUAGCAGUUGAAAAAGGAGGCAAGGAAAAGGAG